rnacentral:rRNA from 1 species
GAUCCUGGCUCAGGAUGAACGCUGGCGGCGUGCUUAACACAUGCAAGUCGAACGAAGCACUUGAGAUUGAUUCUUCGGAUGACGUCUUUUGUGACUUAGUGGCGGACGGGUGAGUAACGCGUGGGUAACCUGCCUCACACAGGGGGAUAACAGUUAGAAAUGACUGCUAAUACCGCAUAACCCGAUAGGAUCGCAUGACCCAGACGGAAAAGAUUUAUCGGGUGUGAGAUGGACCCGCG